rnacentral:rRNA from 1 species
AGUGAACGCUGGCGGUAGGCCUAACACAUGCAAGUCGAACGGCAGCACAGGAGAGCUUGCUCUCUGGGUGGCGAGUGGCGGACGGGUGAGGAAUACAUCGGAAUCUGCCCAGUCGUGGGGGAUAACGCAGGGAAACUUACGCUAAUACCGCAUACGACCUUCGGGUGAAAGAGGGGGAUCGCAAGACCUCUCGCGAUUCGAUGAGCCGUUGUCGGAUUAGCUAGUUGGCGGGGUAAUGGCCCACCAAGGCGACGAUCCGUAGCUGGUCUGAGAGGAUGAUCAGCCACACUAGAACUGAGACACGGUCCAGACUCCUACGGGAGGCAGCAGUGGGGAAUAUUAGACAAUGGGCGCAAGCCUGAUGCAGCAAUGCCGCGUGGGUGAAGAAGGCCUUCGGGUUGUAAAGCCCUUUUGUUGGGAAAGAAAUAUUUCAGGCUAAUAUCCUGGGGGGAUGACGGUACCCAAAGAAUAAGCACCGGCUAACUACGUG